rnacentral:rRNA from 1 species
UGCAAGUCGAGCGGAUGAUGGGAGCUUGCUCCUGGAUUCAGCGGCGGACGGGUGAGUAAUGCCUAGGAAUCUGCCUGGUAGUGGGGGAUAACGUUCGGAAACGGACGCUAAUACCGCAUACGUCCUACGGGAGAAAGCAGGGGACCUUCGGGCCUUGCGCUAUCAGAUGAGCCUAGGUCGGAUUAGCUAGUUGGUGGGGUAAAGACCUACCAAGGUGAUGA